AAAAAGCACAAUAACACAGAGAAAUCAAAUAUGGGUUGAGCGGGAAGUGAGAGAGGAUUUUGGUAGGAAUGGAUUUUGGAUGUUCAGAAGUGAAUGUGUGGAAGGAAGCACUCUCUGCAUACCAAUCUCGAAUUCAAACACUCUCUCUCACAAAAAACAAACCCAAUUUGGUUUCUCUCGAUGAAUUUUACAGCAACCAGCUACCUUCCCUGUUACGCCAACGAAACCCUAACCCCUUUCUCACCACUUCAGAACUCUCCAGUCUCAUGCAAUGGAAGCUCACGCGCGGCAAGUGGAGGCCGCGUCUGCUGGAUUUCGUAUCGUCCCUAGACGACGCCGUUGUGAAAUCCGCUUCUGAGAAGGCAUUUCAGAGCCUUCCCGAUGUAACGAAAGCCGUUGCUGAACUCACUGUAUUGAAAGGCGUUGGUCCCGCCACCGCCUCUGCCGUUUUGGCUGCUUUCUCUCCGCAGUUAACCCCUUUCAUGUCUGAUGAGGCUAUGGAGGCAGCUCUUGGAAAUUCAAAAGAUUAUUCUCUGAAGCAAUAUCUAAAGUUCGUAGAUAAGUUGCAGAUGAAAGCGAAGGAACUAAGUUCAGAAGGGGACUCCUUUACCCCAUCUGAUGUAGAAAGGGCGUUGUGGAGUUAUGCUGUGGGGAAAUCAUCACCACCCCAAUCAAAUCAGGACCCUAAGACCAAACCAAGCAGGAGCUCUAAAAGGAAGAGAAAAAAUUGACAUUAGUAGCAAAGCAACAAUGAACUUACAAUUUUGGCGAAGCCCCAAAGCCCACCAAAUUCACCUACUUUCCUGGAAACAUGGCGACAUUGAAGGCGGUUUGGCUUGUUCUCUGGCUUUGUGUUCAACCUUUUCCACACCGUUGGUGCUGGCCUCAAGCAACUGGUGCUGGUAUGCUUGUGCUGUACACAGGCGUAUGGUGGCCUUGGUCAGAACCUCUCAUCACUUUGUUUCAUCAUAAACAAUGUUGCAAUGCUGGUCGUGUAAAUGGUUAUCAUAGGUGAUGUGUUCUGAAGAUCAUGUUCAGGAGUGCACAAUUCAGGGGUUUUGGAAAAAUGGUUUGAUCAAUGCUGGUGCCUCUUGUAUCAUUCAGGUGUGUGAAGAUACAGCUCAGCAUUCCCUGUGGGUUGCCUAUUUUGUUGUGGUGAUAACAGCAGUUUUACUAUAUUGAACUCGAAGAUCCUUCCCAAAUGAAGGCCCAUAGUCCGGAUAUUACUGUGCUCAUCUGGCACAUAGUAACCACCCUUUUUGGUUUUUUCUUAUGUGGGGACAGAACAUUGGGUGACAUCUUGGAGUUCCUUAUGGUUCAUUUCUUACUGAUAUAAUUUGAGUGAGCUAUGGCAUUAACCUUCUCCUUGUGUUCCCAAUUGUGUUUUAGUCCUUUGGCCUCAACUUAGGUGGUCUUCGUUUCCAAAUGCCAUUCCUCUUGUCUAUGACACCAAGAGAUUCUAUUUAUAAGCACAGUUCUCAUGGCUUCCAUUUUUGUUGAAGCCAAUUUUGUUCGCAGCAUCUGGGAUGCCUUCUAGUUCAUAGGGGCCACAGCUGCUGUUUCUGCUGGAACAUUUUUCCAGCUGCUAUUGCUCUUAGGUAAGUCAAAAACAUCAAAGGAUGUAUGCUUGGAAAAGUUCUUCCAUAUACAAGAGAAAAAGAUAACAACUAUAAUGCAUUGCGUUUCUUCAUGAACUAAAAUUAUCUGCGAAUGUGAGUUGACAUAAGAGGAUCCUUUCGGUUUAUGUUCAUAUUUUCUCAAAUAUAUUUGACCAACUUUUUCCAAACAGGAUUAUAAGUAUCCCUUGAAAUUGAUGUGAUAUCUCUACAUCUUCACCAUAGUGCUCAAUCUUGAAUUCCUCGUAGUACGUAUUGUCAUUGUUUCUCUUUAGCAGGGAUAGUCGUGGGGUUGCAAUA